rfam:Coccomyxa sp. C-169 plastid, complete genome.
GGAGUGGUGUCUGAGUGGCCGAAAGAGCACGAUUGCUAAUCGUGUGUACAGGAAACUGUACCGAGGGUUCGAAUCCCUCUCACUCCG